rnacentral:rRNA from 1 species
AUACGGAGGGGGUUAGCGUUGUUCGGAAUUACUGGGCGUAAAGCGCACGUAGGCGGACUGGAAAGUUGGGGGUGAAAUCCCGGGGCUCAACCCCGGAACUGCCUCCAAAACUUCCAAUCUAGAGAUCGAGAGAGGUAAGUGGAAUUCCUAGUGUAGAGGUGAAAUUCGUAGAUAUUAGGAGGAACACCAGUGGCGAAGGCGGCUUACUGGCUCGAUACUGACGCUGAGGUGCGAAAGCGUGGGGAGCAACCAGGAUUAGAAACCCUAGUAGUCC